GACGAACGCUGGCGGUGUGCUUAACACAUGCAAGUCGAACGGUAAGGCCCUUUCGGGGGUACACGAGUGGCGAACGGGUGAGUAACACGUGAGUAACCUGCCCUCAUCUCUGGGAUAACAGUCGGAAACGGUUGCUAAUACUGGAUAUGAGCUUGCAAGGCAUCUUGUGGGGUGGAAAGAUUUUUUUUGGUUGGGGAUGGACUCGCGGCCUAUCAGCUUGUUGGUGAGGUAGUGGCUCACCAAGGCUUCGACGGGUAGCCGGCCUGAGAGGGCGACCGGCCACAUUGGGACUGAGAUACGGCCCAAACUCCUACGGGAGGCAGCAGUGGGGAAUAUUGCACAAUGGACGGAAGUCUGAUGCAGCAACGCCGCGUGCGGGAUGACGGCCUUCGGGUUGUAAACCGCUUUCAAUUGUGACGAAGCUUUUUUGUGACGGUAGCAGUAGAAGAAGCACCGGCUAACUACGUG
rnacentral:rRNA from 1 species